UACGUAGGGGGCGAGCGUUAAUCGGAAUUACUGGGCGUAAAGCGUGCGCAGGCGGUUUUGCAAGCCGGAUGUGAAAUCCCCGGGCUUAACCUGGGAAUGGCAUUUGGGACUGCAAGGCUUGAGUGCGGCAGAGGAGACUGGAAUUCCUGGUGUAGCAGUGAAAUGCGUAGAUAUCAGGAGGAAUACCGAUGGCGAAGGCAGGUCUCUGGGCUGACACUGACGCUCAUGCACGAAAGCGUGGGGAGCAAACAGG
rnacentral:rRNA from 1 species